rnacentral:rRNA from 1 species
UGGGGAAUUUUGGACAAUGGGGGCAACCCUGAUCCAGCCAUGCCGCGUGCAGGAUGAAGGCCUUCGGGUUGUAAACUGCUUUUGUACGGAACGAAAAGACUCUGGUUAAUACCUGGGGUCCAUGACGGUACCGUAAGAAUAAGCACCGGCUAACUACGUGCCAGCAGCCGCGGUAAUACGUAGGGUGCAAGCGUUAAUCGGAAUUACUGGGCGUAAAGCGUGCGCAGGCGGUGAUGUAAGACAGAGGUGAAAUCCCCGGGCUCAACCUGGGAACUGCCUUUGUGACUGCAUCGCUGGAGUGCGGCAGAGGGGGAUGGAAUUCCGCGUGUAGCAGUGAAAUGCGUAGAUAUGCGGAGGAACACCGAUGGCGAAGGCAAUCCCCUGGGCCUGCACUGACGCUCAUGCACGAAAGCGUGGGGAGCAAACAGGAUUAGAUACCCUGGUAGUCCACGCCCUAAACGAUGUCAACUGGUUGUUGGGUWUUAAUUAACUCAGUAACGAAGCUAACGCGUGAAG